AUGGGGUCUUUGCAGGGCACUUGGGUGCCCAGACCUGGCCCUCCCGACUCCCAUCACGGCCGCACAGAAGCCCGCGCUCCGACUUCCAGCUCCGGUCAGCAGGGGGAGGCUGUGCUGCAUCUGGCGGCGGCCCUGGGCGCAGGGGCGCGGGGCGGCCUCGAGAGUCAGCGAGUGGACAGGACCCGCCAGGCCAGCACAUUUGCCGCGUUACCGAGUCCUAGGAGUCCUAGGGCAGGUGGCUCCUGGGGUACUAGGGGCGUGGGGCGGGGGGGAGUGCAGAAAGCUGCCUGGGCUGCAUCCUGAGCGGGGGAGGGAGACAGGUGGACGGGGCCAGGGAGGAGGCAAUUCCAGACAGGAAAACCUGUGCAAAGACGGGGUGGGGUGGGGUGGGGGUAGGGGUAGGGGUGGGUGGUGAGCACUGGAGCCCAGAGGGUGGAGUCAGGCUGGAGAGGAGGGGAGGCGGGGAGGCUGCCCCGUGGGCCCAAGUUGCCUGGAAGGGCUUUCCAUGGGGGUGGGGACUUUGGACGAGGUCCCGAGGGUGAGGAGGGGAGCCAGCAGUAGGGAUGGGGGAGGAGGGGGUGCUGAGAGGCAGGUCCUGGUUCCCCGGGGGGUGAUGAGGAUGGCAGCGUGGUUUUGAGGCAGACAAGGGAGAGGACCCCAGCCCCGGUGCUCAGCUCCUGUGCUCGUGCUGUGGCGAGAGGCCCCCACCCUUCCUGGACCCGGGUGAGGGCCCCCAGGACAGGCAUCCGGUUCCUCGCCGUCUGCUGCAGUGGUCACCCAGGUUUGACUGCCCUCACCCCCUCAAGGCCCUUCACAAGGUAGGAGCCUGCGGGCCUCUGACCCUGCAGGUGACCUGAGGGGCGGCCUGGGCCGCAUAGCAGGUGGGAAUCGGAUGGCUUUGCCCCAUCUCUGCAGGCAGGUGAGGUGGGGGCAUUUGACACUGGGUCGAAGGCCGCCUGGUGCCCUCCACACCCCUGCCCUGCUCCUUCCCUGUUUGCAGAGCAUGUGGGGCUUUUCAAAAGCAUUAAUGAUAGAAAAUGAAUUGGAAUCGGAGAGGAAUCAUCCCGGGCAUCUCGGAGGGCCGCCUCUGCCCGUCUCUCAGCAUAUUGAAGC
rnacentral:lncRNA from 1 species